AUACGUAGGGUGCGAGCGUUGUCCGGAAUUACUGGGCGUAAAGAGCUCGUAGGUGGUUUGUCGCGUCGUCUGUGAAAUUCCGGGGCUUAACUCCGGGCGUGCAGGCGAUACGGGCAUAACUUGAGUACUGUAGGGGAGACUGGAAUUCCUGGUGUAGCGGUGAAAUGCGCAGAUAUCAGGAGGAACACCGGUGGCGAAGGCGGGUCGCUAGGCAGUAACUGACGCUGAGGAGCGAAAGCAUGGGUAGCGAACAGGAUUAGAUACCCUGGAAGUCCAUGCCGUAAACGGUGGGCGCUAGGUGUAGGGGUCUUCCACGACUUCUGUGCCGUAGCUAACGCAUUAAGCGCCCCGCCUGGGGAGUACGGCCGCAAGGCUAAAACUCAAAUGAAUUGACGGGG
rnacentral:rRNA from 1 species